ensembl:lncRNA LINC01559 long intergenic non-protein coding RNA 1559
AGAGAAACAGCUUAGGGAGAAAGAGGCAGAGGACAAAGGAACUCGCCAGUUGCUUCUGCAAAAAACGAAAAAACAGAAAAAAAUCUAAAUGAGUUCUCCUGCAGAACUCUAAUACACCAGUACAAUGGAAAGAUUCCUAAAUUCAAAAGCCAGAAGGCUGGGUUCCUGUUCCCACCCUGCCUUUUACCUUCUGUGUGUUCCUGAUGAAGACACUUCAUGCUCCACUAUUUACUUACCUCUGAAACGAAGGGCUGACCCAGAUCAGUUGUUCUCUGACCUGCUUGGAGGGACUCAGAGGCUGUGGAGGUGAGUGGGAAACAGGCCAGGUUCCAGGCCCACACUUCAAAGAGACAAGGUCUGCUUUGGACUGUUUUACACACAGGGCUUCUGAGUUUUAGAUUUCAUUAGAAGUGUUUCUUCUGCCAAAUGAAAUUUGAAAACCACUGAGCUGGGUGAUUAUUAGGACCCAUUCCAGCUGUCAUAUUCUUCCAGCAUGAAGAUCAAGUUCAGCAGUGCAGCAGCUGGAGCUGUGGAAAGAGGUGGUAUGAGUUUGGGCUUGAGUUAGUGGACAUGGUAGCCAAAUCAGAGAUCCCUCUCUCAUUCAAGUCAUCUGUUGCUACCUGUUUGCUCUGGAGGUCUGAACUUCUGGGAGAUAAAUGUUUAAACUGACAGACUUCAGUUCAAAUAAUGACUCCACAUUCGUAUCCUGAUAUUGGGUAAAUAAAUAAAUCUCUUAAAUUCCCAGAGCUGCAGGUUCUUAGCCUAUAAAAUGAUGACAUCACCUACUUUGCCCAGUUAUUGUAUAUACUAGUUAACAUGGUCUAAACUGUGCCAAUUGGAAGACCCAAAAUGCAAUGCCUUGAGAAGAGUAAAAGGUUUUUUCUCUUUCAUGUAAAUAGUCUAGAACAGGCCAGGUGGUGGGCCUUCUACUCCAAGCAUCCUUCAAGGAACCCAGGAGAUGCUAGUUCUAUUAUUUUCAGCACGUUGCUCACAAGGUUACUGC